rnacentral:rRNA from 1 species
UACGGAGUUAGCCGGUGCUUAUUCAUCGGGUACCUUCAGCUCUCUACACGUAAAGAGGUUUAUUCCCCGAUAAAAGCAGUUUACAACCCAUAGGGCAUUCUUCCUGCACGCGGCAUGGCUGGUUCAGGCUUGCGCCCAUUGACCAAUAUUCCUCACUGCUGCCUCCCGUAGGAGUCUGGUCCGUGUCUCAGUACCAGUGUGGGGGACCAUCCUCUCAGACCCCCUACCCAUCGUCGCCAUGGUAAGCCGUUACCUUACCAUCUAGCUAAUGGGACGCAUGCCCAUCCUGUUCCGUAACCUUUAAAUCAUCAACCAUGCGGUUGUUGAUUACCAUGGGGUUGUUAAUCCGGAUUUCUCCGGGCUAUCCCCCAGAACAGGGUAGGUUGCAUACGCGUUACUCACCCGUGCGCCGGUCGCCACCAUAACAGUAAACUGUUAUUAUGCUGCCCCUCGACUUGCAUGUGUUAGGCCUGCCGCUAGCGUUCAUCCUGAGCCAGGAUCAAACUC